rnacentral:rRNA from 1 species
GACGAACGCUGGCGGCGUGCUUAACACAUGCAAGUCGAACGGAAAGGCCCUGCUUUUGUGGGGUGCUCGAGUGGCGAACGGGUGAGUAACACGUGAGUAACCUGCUCUAGACUUUGGGAUAACUUCAGGAAACUGGAGCUAAUAUCGGAUAGGAGCUCCUGCUGCAUGGUGGGGGUUGGAAAGUUUCGGCGGUCGGGGAUGGACUCGCGGCUUAUCAGCUUGCUGGUGGGGUAGUGGCAUACCAAGGCUUUGACGGGUAGCCGGCCUGAGAGGGUGACCGGCCACAUUGGGACUGAGGUAGGGCCCAGAGUCCUACGUGAGGCAGCAGUGGGAAAUAUUGCACAAUGGGCGGGAGCCUGAUGCAGCGGCGCCGCGUGCGGAAUGACGGCCUUCGGGUUGUAAACCGCUUUCGCCUGUGACGAAGCGUGAGUGACGGUAAUGGGUAAAGAAGCACCGGCUAACUACGUG